GCACGUAGCCCUGAAUAUUCCCAGCCUUGUUGAUCUUAGAAGUUAUCAAGCUCAGGCCUGGUCCGUACUGGGUUAGCAGACUCCUUGGGAGUACUGGGUGCUGCAGGCG
rnacentral:rRNA from 1 species